GAAGCAGAGCUUGCUCUGUGGAUCAGUGGCGAACGGGUGAGUAACACGUGAGCAACCUGCCCCUGACUCUGGGAUAAGCGCUGGAAACGGCGUCUAAUACUGGAUAUGUGACGUGACCGCAUGGUCUGCGUCUGGAAAGAAUUUCGGUUGGGGAUGGGCUCGCGGCCUAUCAGCUUGUUGGUGAGGUAAUGGCUCACCAAGGCGUCGACGGGUAGCCGGCCUGAGAGGGUGACCGGCCACACUGGGACUGAGACACGGCCCAGACUCCUACGGGAGGCAGCAGUGGGGAAUAUUGCACAAUGGGCGAAAGCCUGAUGCAGCAACGCCGCGUGAGGGAUGACGGCCUUCGGGUUGUAAACCUCUUUUAGCAGGGAAGAAGCGAAAGUGACGGUACCUGCAGAAAAAGCGCCGGCUAACUACGUGCCAGCAGCCGCGGUAAUACGUAGGGCGCAAGCGUUAUCCGGAAUUAUUGGGCGUAAAGAGCUCGUAGGCGGUUUGUCGCGUCUGCUGUGAAAUCCGGAGGCUCAACCUCCGGCCUGCAGUGGGUACGGGCAGACUAGAGUGCGGUAGGGGAGAUUGGAAUUCCUGGUGUAGCGGUGGAAUGCGCAGAUAUCAGGAGGAACACCGAUGGCGAAGGCAGAUCUCUGGGCCGUAACUGACGCUGAGGAGCGAAAGGGUGGGGAGCAAACAGGCUUAGAUACCCUGGUAGUCCACCCCGUAAACGUUGGGAACUAGUUGUGGGGUCCAUU
rnacentral:rRNA from 1 species